UAGGGAAUAUUGCACAAUGGGCGCAAGCCUGAUGCAGCAACGCCGCGUGAGGGACGACGGCCUUCGGGUUGUAAACCUCUUUUAGUAGGGAAGAAGCGAAAGUGACGGUACCUGCAGAAAAAGCACCGGCUAACUACGUGCCAGCAGCCGCGGUAAUACGUAGGGUGCAAGCGUUGUCCAGAAUUAUUGGGCGUAAAGAGCUCGUAGGCGGUUUGUCGCGUCUGCUGUGAAACCCCGAGGCUCAACCUCGGGCCUGCAGUGGAUACGGGCAGACGAGAGUGCGGUAGGGNAGAUUGGAAUUCCUGGUGUAGCGGUGGAAUGCGCAGAUAUCAGGAGGAACACCGAUGGCGAAGGCAGAUCUCUGGGCCGUAACUGACGCUGAGGAGCGAAAGCCAGGGGAGCAAACG
rnacentral:rRNA from 1 species